rnacentral:misc_RNA from 1 species
UUUUUUUUUUUUUUUUAAUGAUGAAUGAGAAUGAUGAUUUGGGUGAUGAAACGAGUAUGAUAUAGUGAUUUCAACUGGUAAUUGACAAAUUGAAUAGGAUUCAAGAAAAACAUAAAUAGUCAACACAAGGCAUCUGGAUGGAGGAAAUGUGGUUUCCUAAAUACAGAUAGUUCACUGAAGAAAUCCUAAUUUAUUUGCUAAAUAUGAAUCAAUUCAUGCCAUCUUUUCUCCGAAUCUCUAUGAAAACUUUGCAAUUUCAGCUCAACAAUGCAUCACUCAAUAAGUUAAGGCAUGGGUCCAGCUAUGAAUUAUUGUUUCGGAAACAACAGAAAAGCUAAGUGUAAUCCAAGCAAUAUAGACAAGUAAAAAUGUAAGAAACAACAAAGGAAACUUGUCAGGUGACAUUGAAGGUGACAAAUUUCCCUUCAAUCUACAGAAAGAUUUCAAGAUUUUAUCAUAACCAAAGAAUCUUCUAACACUGUCAAUCCAUGUCUAGUGACAUAUCAAUAAAUGCACCAUGUGAUGGUAUUGUCUAACCUGAAUGUUCU